CAGUCCGCGGGAAUACAGAGGGUGCGAGCGUUAAUCGGAUUUACUGGGCGUAAAGCGUGCGUAGGCGGCUUCUUAAGUCGGAUGUGAAAUCCCUGAGCUUAACUUAGGAAUUGCAUUCGAUACUGGGAAGCUAGAGUAUGGGAGAGGAUGGUAGAAUUCCAGGUGUAGCGGUGAAAUGCGUAGAGAUCUGGAGGAAUACCGAUGGCGAAGGCAGCCAUCUGGCCUAAUACUGACGCUGAGGUACGAAAGCAUGGGGAGCAAACAGGAUUAGAUACCCGCGUAGUCCCUGUCUCUUAUACAC
rnacentral:rRNA from 1 species